AUUCCUUCCAGUAGCACCUUAGAGACCAACUAAGUUUGUCAUUGGUAUGAGCUUUCGUGUGCAUGCACACUUCUUUAGAAGAAGUGACAAACUUAGUUGGUCUCUAAGGUGCUACUGGAAGGAAUUUUUUUAUUUUUUUUUUACUA
rnacentral:sRNA from 1 species